rnacentral:rRNA from 1 species
GACGAACGCUGGCGGCGUGCUUAACACAUGCAAGUCGAACGGAAAGGCCCUGCUUUUGUGGGGUGCUCGAGUGGCGAACGGGUGAGUAACACGUGAGUAACCUGCCCUUGACUUUGGGAUAACUUCAGGAAACUGGGGCUAAUACCGGAUAGGAGCUCCUGCUGCAUGGUGGGGGUUGGAAAGUUUCGGCGGUUGGGGAUGGACUCGCGGCUUAUCAGCUUGUUGGUGGGGUAGUGGCUUACCAAGGCUUUGACGGGUAGCCGGCCUGAGAGGGUGACCGGCCACAUUGGGACUGAGAUACGGCCCAGACUCCUACGGGAGGCAGCAGUGGGGAAUAUUGCACAAUGGGCGGAAGCCUGAUGCAGCAACGCCGCGUGCGGGAUGACGGCCUUCGGGUUGUAAACCGCUUUCGCCUGUGACGAAGCGUGAGUGACGGUAAUGGGUAAAGAAGCACCGGCUAACUACGUGCCAGCAGCCGCGGUGAUACGUAGGGCGCGAGCGUUGUCCGGAUUUAUUGGGCGUAAAGGGCUCGUAGGUGGUUGAUCGCGUCGGAAGUGUAAUCUUGGGGCUUAACCCUGAGCGUGCUUUCGAUACGGGUUGACUUGAGGAAGGUAGGGGAGAAUGGAAUUCCUGGUGGAGCGGUGGAAUGCGCAGAUAUCAGGAGGAACACCAGUGGCGAAGGCGGUUCUCUGGGCCUUUCCUGACGCUGAGGAGCGAAAGCGUGGGGAGCGAACAGGCUUAGAUACCCUGGUAGUCCACGCUGUAAACGGUGGGUACUAGGUGUGGGGUCCAUUCCACGGGUUCCGUGCCGUAGCUAACGCUUUAAGUACCCCGCCUGGGGAGUACGGCCGCAAGGCUAAAACUCAAAGGAAUCGACGGGGCCCCGCACAAGCGGCGGAGCAUGCGGAUUAAUUCGAUGCAACGCGUAGAACCUUACCUGGGUUUGACAUGGAUCGGGAGUGCUCAGAGAUGGGUGUGCCUCUUUUGGGGUCGGUUCACAGGUGGUGCAUGGCUGUCGUCAGCUCGUGUCGUGAGAUGUUGGGUUAAGUCCCGCAACGAGCGCAACCCUUGUUCACUGUUGCCAGCACGUUAUGGUGGGGACUCAGUGGAGACCGCCGGGGUCAACUCGGAGGAAGGUGGGGAUGACGUCAAGUCAUCAUGCCCCUUAUGUCCAGGGCUUCACGCAUGCUACAAUGGCUGGUACAGAGAGUGGCGAGCCUGUGAGGGUGAGCGAAUCUCGGAAAGCCGGUCUCAGUUCGGAUUGGGGUCUGCAACUCGACCUCAUGAAGUCGGAGUCGCUAGUAAUCGCAGAUCAGCAACGCUGCGGUGAAUACGUUCCCGGG